CACUUGAUAAUUUAGUAUACUUUAAAAAGCUAUAGUUGAUUUAUAUUUUUAUCUGAUGCGUUUCUAAACUACAUUUUUUGAUACAAAAAAAUCUUUUUUUUUUUUAAAGAAGAAAUCAAUAAUUGACAAAAUGGAUCAAGAGUUUGAUUACAGCGAGAUUAUUUCUGGCCUUCGAAAAAGUUUUAUGAAUGGUAAAUUAAAAAGCUAUGAAGCUAGACGUCAUCAGCUAAUUCAACUUAAUAAGUUAUUAGAUGAGAACAAUGAAGCAAUUUGUGAUGCACUUUGGAAAGAUCUUCGAAAGUCCAAUCCAAUAACAAAGAUAACUGAGAUCCUUAGUGUAAAGAAUGAACUUGCAGAAAUAAUGGUUCAGCUGGAUAAGUUUAUGAAACCUGAAAGAAUCAAAUCUGACUGGCAAAAUAUACAAAAUACAUUAGAAAUUCAUAAUGAACCUUAUGGAAUUGUUUUAAUUCUUUCUGCAUGGAAUUAUCCUUUGUUACUAAGUUUAAAACCUAUAGCUGGAGCAAUUGCAGCUGGUAAUUGUUGUGUAAUAAAACCAUCAGAGUUAGCACCAAAUACUGCAGCUGUAAUUGAGCAUCUCAUUCCUAAAUAUAUGGAUAAUGAUUGUAUCAGAGUUAUAAAUGGAGGAGUUCCAGAAACUACAGCUCUCCUUCGUGAAAGAUUUGACUACAUUUUUUACACUGGUAGUACUAAUGUUGGAAAAAUUAUUCUUAAAGCAGCAAGUAACUAUUUUACUCCAGUCACACUUGAAAUGGGUGGAAAAUGUCCAGCAAUAGUUGAUAAAGCGUCUAACUUAGAUAUUGCUGCAAAUCGUAUUGUAUGGGGAAAGUUUUCAAAUUCAGGGCAAACUUGUCUUGCUGUAGACUAUAUUCUUUGUGUUGGUGGUAUACAAGAUGAUUUAAUCAAUGCACUCAAGAAAAGUAUUUUAAGAUUUUAUGGUGAAGAUCCACAAAAAUCAAUUGAUUAUGGAAGAAUGAUUAACAAUCGAAACUUUCAGAGAGUAAUCAAGUUGAUAAAAAAAUCAAACAUUGUACAUGGGGGAGAUUAUGAUGAAAAAGAUCUCUACAUAUCACCAACAAUAUUAAAAAAUAUAUCAGUUGAUGAUGAUAUCAUGAAAGAAGAGAUAUUUGGUCCAUUACUUCCCAUAAUUAAUGUUGUUGAUGUGGAAGAGGCUGUUCAAUUUAUUAAUCUAAGCUGCAGUCCUGCUAGAUGGAAGAUCUUGCUUGACAAGCUUUUGGAUACCAGAUGCUCAGCUUAGAUUGCUGCUAUAAAACUAAUUGCAAAACGAUCAAAAAAUUACUGCUGCUCUAAGGUCAUUGCUUUAGUUACGUUCAACCAAAACAUCGACCCAUAAUCAAAAUAUGACUCGUCUUGGUGAUGAAACAGAAUUUGUCACAAAGCAUAUAAUGAUAGCAAAAUUGCAGUAAACCUGGAUAUGCAGUCAACAAGUUCAAUUUAAAAUUAGGAUUGUAAAAACUGUUUUGUUAAGAUUCUCAUUCAUCUGGUUAAAAGAUCGAGAACAGAGAGAAACCACUUGCUGUUUACAUAUUUUCAAAA
rnacentral:misc_RNA from 1 species